CCCGGCCCGCGGGCAGCGCUCCGGGGCUGCCUAGGCCACCUCGGUCUCGCGGUGAAGGAAACGGAAGCUCAGACGGCCGCUGGGCCGCUCGGAGCCCGGAUCGGCCGCUGCGCGCUCCCGGUGUGCUGCUCCCUGGAGGCCGCGGAGGGCACAACAAAGGCCCCCCGGGCAGCCUGCUUCGGGACCGGCUCUUGCAGUCGCCGGGCCUGCUUCUGGCUUUGCUUUGUUUGUUUUUGCUUUUCUGCGGUCCUUAAACUCUGAGAUUUCUCCCGGUUCCGGUUCGAGACCUCUGGGUUAAGUAAGGGUGUAUAUGUACAUAUGUGGGCAUGUACAAUCAACAGUGCAUCUGGAGGUCAGAGGACAACUUUCUGGACAACUCUGGAGGAAGAAUGCCUAGGGCUGGAGA